GAUCCUGGCUCAGGAUGAACGCUAGCUACAGGCUUAACACAUGCAAGUCGAGGGGAAACGAUAUUGGAAGCUUGCUUCCGAUAGGCGUCGACCGGCGCACGGGUGAGUAACGCGUAUCCAACCUGCCCAUCACUUGGGAGUAACCUUGCGAAAGUAAGACUAAUGCCCAAUGACAUUUAUAGAAGGCAUCGGAAAUGAAUUAAAGAAUUUAUUCGGUGGAUGGAUGGGGAGUGCGUCUGAUUAG
rnacentral:rRNA from 1 species